rnacentral:sRNA from 1 species
GCUCCUGUACUUGUUGAAGAGGACAACUUCCCCGACAGAGGAGGACCAUUCUUCAAUGAAGGGUGUACCAGUAAUUGUGCUCCCCUGCUAGAACAUCCAAACAAGCUGUCAAGAUCCAUUCAUAAAAUGUAGUAGGAUAACAAAGCCUCCAAGACUCCAGGCACAUCCAAGUAAGUUUUUGCAUAUGACAGUCUUUUUUUCUU